CAUUACCGAGUUUACAACUCCCAAACCCCUGUGAACAUACCAAUUGUUGCCUCGGCGGAUCAGCCCGCUCCCGGUAAAACGGGACGGCCCGCCAGAGGACCCCUAAACUCUGUUUCUAUAUGUAACUUCUGAGUAAAACCAUAAAUAAAUCAAAACUUUCAACAACGGAUCUCUUGGUUCUGGCAUCGAUGAAGAACGCAGCAAAAUGCGAUAAGUAAUGUGAAUUGCAGAAUUCAGUGAAUCAUCGAAUCUUUGAACGCACAUUGCGCCCGCCAGUAUUCUGGCGGGCAUGCCUGUUCGAGCGUCAUUUCAACCCUCAAGCCCCCGGGUUUGGUGUUGGGGAUCGGCGAGCCCUUGCGGCAAGCCGGCCCCGAAAUCUAGUGGCGGUCUCGCUGCAGCUUCCAUUGCGUAGUAGUAAAACCCUCGCAACUGGUACGCGGCGCGGCCAAGCCGUUAAACCCCCAACUUCUGAAUGUUGACCUCGGAUCA
rnacentral:rRNA from 1 species